UAUCUUUCAUUCAUCAUAGCACGGAACUAUGCGAGUGGUUAAGCGUAGCUAAAUACGUGUGUGAAAAAAAAGGGGGGAAAAUCAAGAAUUUGGGGGGCUGAGAUUUAGGGUUAUAAUUCCCGAUACUUCGACAACGUAAUCUAAAGGAGUUUUUUCCUCGUGGUCAGCACCGAAUUCCUUUCUCGUAUAGCCUCCCGACAUGUUUGAAAAUACUUUUGAGCUUAUUCAAAAUCGACAAAAUUAAUGGAACAAGCAGAAAACUUCGGAUUCGCGCGCAAAAAUAGUGGGUGGACCCUGAGGUUUGAAAAAAAAAAAAAAUUUUAAA